AGAAUCAACGCUGGCGGCGUGCCUAACACAUGCAAGUCGCACGAGAAAGGGGAGCAAUCCCUGAGUACAGUGGCGCACGGGUGAGUAACACGUGAAUAAUCUACCUCCGAGUGGGGAAUAACUGAGAGAAAUCUUAGCUAAUACCGCAUAAUACCCACAGGUCAAAGCAGCAAUGCGCUUGGAGAGGAGUUCGCGGCCGAUUAGUUAGUUGGCGGGGUAAUGGCCCACCAAGACGAUGAUCGGUA
rnacentral:rRNA from 1 species